rnacentral:rRNA from 1 species
UACGUAGGGACCGAGCGUUGUCCGGAAUCAUUGGGCGUAAAGAGCGUGUAGGCGGCCACUUAAGUCCUGCGUGAAAUCCCGAGGCUCAACCUCGGGUCUGCAUCCGAUACUGCCCGGCUAGAGGUAGGUAGGGGAGAUCGGAAUUCCUGGUGUAGCGGUGAAAUGCGCAGAUAUCAGGAGGAACACCGGUGGCGAAGGCGGAUCUCUGGGCCUUACCUGACGCUCAGGCGCGAAAGCUAGGGGAGCGAACUGG